rnacentral:tmRNA from 1 species
GGGGGCGAACCGGCUUCGACGCGGGUUACAAGGUCUACGGGAGCAUGUCGAGUGGGUGAUCUAGCUCGUAAAAUACUGGGUUACAAAAUAUAGUCGCAAAAAACGACAACAACUUCGCUUCUGCUGCAGUAGCAGCCUAGUGCGAACCGUUACUACAGCUUGCUUGUAGGCAUGUAGAUAACGGUCAUAGGAUACAAGACCGCAACUAAUGGAGCCCUACAUCAGUUGUUAAAACCUCGGGAUCGUUAUUUGGUAUCACUCUGUCUGUCGAGUGCC